rnacentral:rRNA from 1 species
AUUCCUUUUGAUUUUGGAGGAAUAAAAGUAGAGGAAUUAUUUAUACAUGUUAGUGUAAGCGUAUAAGUGAGUAAAUCUCAGUUUGAUGAAAUCUAUCAGGUGAAUUAAAAUAGAAGUUUAAUUAACCUAAAACGGAUAGCUAAAAGCCACGUUUUAACUGAAACAAAGUAAAAUUAUACAGCAGUAAAGAAUUCUAUACAAUUAAAGUAAUUUAGAUAUGGUAGUUUCUCUUAGUCUUGUCUAAUUAAGUGCCAGCAGACGCGGUUAUACUUAAAAGGCAAAUUUUUAUAAUAAAACAGGUAAUAAUAUGUGUAGCAAAUAAAAUAUAAUAUUAAGUACGUUUUUGAAACGGUUAAAUGUACAAAAAUUGUAAUUCCUAAUAAGAAAUUUUAAUAUUAAAAAAUGUGAAACAUGAAAAAAAGGAUAUUAAAUAGGAUUAGAUACCCUAGUAAACCUUUUCGUAAAUAGAUUUUUAAAAAAUCUACCUGAACAGUACACUUUUAAGAGUGAAAAUCAAAAAUUUUGGCUGUUUACUUUCCAAUUAGAGGAGCAUGUGAUUUAAUUCGAUAAUCCGCGAAGUAUCUUACCUAUUCUUGAAUAAUCAGGAGCUGCAUGGUCGUCGUCAGUUUAAAUCUAUAGUUUAAACAUAACCCGAAAAUGGAUAAAGUCAGAUGGUAUGACCCUUAUGAAUAGGUAUAUCAUGUGCUACAAUAAUUAAAUUAGUAAAAAUUUAAAUUCGGAUUAAUAGUGAAAUUCUAUUAUGAAGGAGAAUUUAAUAGUAAAUGGGAAUUAGAAAGUCCCAUUGAAUUGGUUCAAGUAUGAGUACAAAUUGCCCGUCGCCUUUAUUGAUAAUUAUAUUAAAGAUAGAGCAAGUCGUAACAUAGUGGGGGUAAGGGAACUUGUCCCUGAAAUAAUAAUUU